rnacentral:tRNA from 5 species
GCCAGGAUGGCGAAACCGGCAGACGCGCUAGGUUCAGGGCCUAGUCCCAAUUUUUGGGGUGGAGGUUCGAGUCCUCUUCCUGGCACCA